rnacentral:pre_miRNA from 1 species
GAAUCAAUGCUGUUUUAGAGAGUGUAGAUCUAAUGCUGUUUUAGAGAGUGUAGAUGAUUCAAACAGAUCUACACUCUCUAAAACAGCAUUGAU